UACGUAGGGUGCGAGCGUUGUCCGGAAUUAUUGGGCGUAAAGAGCUCGUAGGCGGUCUGUCGCGUCGGCUGUGAAAUCCCGAGGCUCAACCUCGGGUCUGCAGUCGAUACGGGCAAACUAGAGUAUUGCAGGGGAGACUGGAAUUCCUGGUGUAGCGGUGAAAUGCGCAGAUAUCAGGAGGAACACCGGUGGCGAAGGCGGGUCUCUGGGCAAUAACUGACGCUGAGGAGCGAAAGCGUGGGGAGCGAACAGG
rnacentral:rRNA from 1 species